AAUGAACGUUGGCGGCGUGGAUUAGGCAUGCAAGUCGAGUGGGUUUAGGCCCACGGCGGAAGGGACAGUAACACGUGGAUGACUUACCCUCGGGUUUGGGAUAACCAUGGGAAACUAUGGAUAAUACCGAAUAACAUCUCCGGAUCAAAGAUUUAUCACCCGAGGAGAGGUCCGCGUCCUAUUAGCUAGUUGGCGGGGUAAAGGCCCACCAAGGCAACGAUGGGUAGCGGGUGUGAGAGCAUGACCCGCGUCACUGGGACUGAGACACUGCCCAGACACCUACGGGUGGCUGCAGUCGAGGAUCUUCGGCAAUGGGCGAAAGCCUGACCGAGCGACGCCGCGUGCGGGAUGAAGGCCUUCGGGUUGUAAACCGCUGUGGUGGGGGAGGAAAACUUGACCUAUCCCACUAGAAAGCACGGGCUAAGUUCGUGCCAGCAGCCGCCGUAAAAC
rnacentral:rRNA from 1 species